rnacentral:tRNA from 1 species
GGAGAGAUGGCUCAGGAGUAAGAGCACUGGCCGCUUCUCCAGAGGACCUGGGUUCAAUUCCCGGCAUCCUCA